AGAGUAUCUUACCUCUACCGCCUGCCGCCGAAACCUAGCGGGUGAUGUCUGUGCCAUCAUGAGGGUCCAUGCCUUCCUAGAACAGUGGGGUCUUAUUAACUACCAGGUGGAUGCUGAGAGUCGACCAACCCCAAUGGGGCCUCCGCCUACCUCUCACUUCCAUGUCUUGGCUGACACACCAUCAGGGCUGGUGCCUCUGCAGCCCAAGACACCUCAGCAGACCUCUGCUUCCCAACAAAUGCUCAACUUUCCUGACAAAGGCAAAGAGAAACCAACAGACAUGCAAAACUUUGGGCUGCGCACAGACAUGUACACAAAAAAGAAUGUUCCCUCCAAGAGCAAAGCUGCAGCCAGUGCCACUCGUGAGUGGACAGAACAGGAAACCCUGCUUCUCCUGGAGAGGAGUUCUCCAAAAUGAAGGAAGAGGUACCCACGGCCU
rnacentral:sRNA from 1 species